UCGGCUCCACCCAGCUCUGGACCGUGGCGUUCCGACGCACGCACCCUCGACUCCGACGUCAUACUGCCCCCCUGGCGGACGCAGACGUCUCUCUCCCUCGGAUCCGAUCCCGCCAUGCCCUAGGGGUUUCCAUCGGUCCACGACCUGCGCAACGCUGGAGGGGGAAGAAGAUGCAGAGCGUUGACGGGGAAGAGAUUGGUGUUCGUGGGCGACUCGCUGAACCGCAACAUGUGGGAAUCGCUGCUCUGCAUCCGGAGGCACCCUCUGAAGAGGAAGCACCGCGUUUUGGAGCUGUCCGGGAAGGAGGAGUUCGGAACCGACAAUUCGUGAGCUUUUCGAUUCGAAGCACGCAGCGCUACACCUCCUUCACGGAUAUCAUCCAUCUCCCCUUCUCUCUUUGUCGUCGGUGGUGGGUUUCGUUCAUGCACCUCCUGCUCACGAACCGCGCAGGACUACAACCGUUACAUAUGCUAACCAUAGUAUUUUUCCUCUAUGAAAAAGAAAAAACAGAGACACUCCUUCGCCAUUCGCAAGAGGUAACUUCUUCGUCGAUGAACCCCACAAUCAUCGUGAAAUUUCAUCAAGGAAGUAGAAAGAGCAUGAAGCUCUGCUGCGACGCUUCCUUGUAUGACUGUAGACUCAUCCUUUCUCCCUUCUCAUUACGUUUUGUUCUUCUCCUCCCCUCUUUCUUUCAUUCGAUUUGUCCUGACCUUAUCCUAUCGAGUUUGAUUGCAGAGAAUAAGUAAGUUGGAUCAUCCGGAGGCCACGCGGAUCAGGACUAGGCCUUCUUUGGAAGCCUAAGCAAUCUGUUAACACAACCACUUUCUGCUUAAAGCUCCAUAUCUCUGCCUGUUUGAUUAUAGAGCUUUUGCAAGCUCCGAGAGUGGUGUAACUUUGACAUGGCAAUGGAAGAUUCAGUUCGAAAAGUGAUCUGUGCCUACCGAAGAUGUCCAGCCAGCAUCAGACUUGCAACUUGUCUUCACAAAGAGAAACUCUUACUUCCAAUCUUCAACAAAGAUGUGAUAAAAUACGAUGAUCAUAAUCAACUCCAAGUUUCCCUCAUGCAAAUCAAACAUGGUCAGAGUUCUGUAUUUUCGCUUCACUCACCUAUCAAAGUAGAAAUAGUGGUCCUUGAUGGAGAUUUCCCCAGAGAAAAUAGUCAGGACUGGAACACUGAUGAGUUCAAUAGCAGCAUAUUAGAAAAACGGGAGAAUAAGAGAUCAUUGCUUCUGGGAGAUAGCAAGGCUCAAUUACGUCAAGGCAUAGCUUCCUUUGGAACACUUAAGGUCACUGAUAACUCGAGUUGGGUAAGGACCGGGAAAUUUAGACUAGGAGUCAGAGUUUCUCCGGGCAGCUAUAAAGGACCAAGGAUUAAAGAAUCGAUAACAGAAAGUUUCCGGGUUUUAGACCAUCGAAGCAAAUGUAAGUCUAGUGUUUGUGCUUUGUUAGUGAUAGCUGUACUUUGUUAUUUUUGUAUAUCUGAUUUCUCCUUCAAGGAACAAGUAUUUGACAAUAUAUAUUCUCUCUUAGAAAACACAGAAGCUAGAUAGCGAGUUUCAUAG